GACCCCGGGACGCGGCCCUGUGCGCCCGCACGUGGCUGUCACACUCACUCCACACCCGUUUACAAAUACUUGGCCUUUGACGUCGAACCGAAACAGGCGGAAACUUCUCCGUCGAAUACGGUCUCAACCCCAGACGCACGCGUUCUGGCGUCAUCCAGCUCCAGCUCUGGCAAACCGAAGGGCCCAAGCUUCCGCUAUAAACUACUUUCCUCGCCCGUGUUUCGCCGCCGUUAUGAUAAAGUCGGAGCAUCCUGCUGGCUGGCCCGCGGGGAACCGCCGGUUCCGGACGAACCCGCCUCCUCCCUCGGCCUCAACUUCCCCGCUUUGCGCAGCCAAGCACCAAGUCCACGCACCGGGGGCCGGGGCACGGCCCUGCUCUUCACCCCAGGCCCGUUCCCCAGCCCGCCGGACGGCGCAAAGACCCGCAAUCCCGCUCUGAGAUCCCCUCAGAUCCCCUCAGAUCCCGCCCUGGGGCCCCUUCGCUGCGACCCCCGCCGGGACCACCGCCUCCCAGCGGCUCGGGGCUACGGCGCCUGCGCAGAGCCCGCCGGGUCGCUGGGGCGCGCUGCGGCGUCGAGGACGCAUGCGUCCCACACCCGGGCCUGCGCGCCGCGAAGGGGGGCUCCCAGGCUGCCCCGCGGUAGCGGGGUCGAGAAUGGCGGCUCCCGGGCCUCGGGCGGUCGGCCGGCUGGGCUGUUAGAAUUCAGCCUGCCUCUCGCUUUCUCCAGGUGCCCAUGCCGGUGCCGGCACCCACAAAAAGAAAUCAGUUCACUCAGUCAUGGUCUGAAAGGGCCCUUGGGAGAAGACGGAGAAGGAAACCAGCCCAGAAGAGUAAGAGACCUGCCGGUGGUCUCACGACAUGUCAGCACAGAGGUGGAGUCUACCCCCACCUCACACCCACCUCACACUUCCAUCCCCUUGCCUGCCUGCUACUUCUGGAAUGCCUCCCCUGCCCCCCACCAGAUCUCUGAGCUCCUCUUCCAGGAAGGCACCUGGUCAUCCCCAUCUGUCUGGCCUCCCCAGCCUCUGACCUCUGGAUCCAACUAUCGUCUUCUGUGUACAUCAGUCUGCCAGUUAGACCCGAAGUUGCACUGGCAAGGCUUAGUUAUUAGAUGGGCAGUGGCCAUUUUCAAAAUAAAAAUUGGAACUUGUGCUCCAACCAGGAUCUAUUUCUGCUGCGUUCCACAUUUGUCAGAAGUCUAA
rnacentral:lncRNA from 12 species